UACGUAGGGGGCAAGCGUUGUCCGGAUUUAUUGGGCGUAAAGAGCGUGUAGGCGGCUUUACAGGUCCGUUGUGAAAACUCGGGGCUCAACCCCGAGCCUGCAGUCGAUACGGGCAGACUAGAGUGCGGUAGGGGAGACUGGAAUUCCUGGUGUAGCGGUGAAAUGCGCAGAUAUCAGGAGGAACACCGGUGGCGAAGGCGGGUCUCUGGGCCGUAACUGACGCUGAGGAGCGAAAGCGUGGGGAGCAAACAGG
rnacentral:rRNA from 1 species